rnacentral:rRNA from 1 species
GACGAACGCUGGCGGCGUGCUUAACACAUGCAAGUCGAACGGAAAGGCCUGCUUUCCCUUGUGGAUUGCGGGUACUCGAGCGGCGAACGGGUGAGUAACACGUGAGUGAUCUGCCCCCAACUUGGGUAUAAGCCUGGGAAACUGGGUCUAAUUCCCGAUAGGACUGCAGGGUGGUGCCUGUGGUGGAAAACGAUUUUCUAGUGGUUGGGGAUGAGCUCGCGGCCUAUCAGCUUGUUGGUGGGGUAAUGGCCUACCAAGGCGGCGACGGGUAGCCGGCCUGAGAGGGUGGACGGCCACAUUGGGACUGAGAUACGGCCCAGACUCCUACGGGAGGCAGCAGUGGGGAAUAGUGCACAAUGGGCGGAAGCCUGAUGCAGCGACGCCGCGUGGGGGAUGACGGCCUUCGGGUUGUAAACUCCUUUCGACCGCGAGGAAGCCACCUGGUUGGAAGGGUGGUGACGGUAGUGGUAGAAGAAGCACCGGCUAACUACGUG